CCUACGGGUGGCAGCAGUGAGGAAUAUUGGUCAAUGGGCUGGAGCCUGAACCAGCCAAGUCGCGUGAGGGAAGACGGUCCUAUGGAUUGUAAACCUCUUUAGGCGGGGAGCAAUGCCGGGCACGCGUGCCCGGAGGGCAAGUACCCGCAGAAUAAGCCUCGGCUAACUCCGUUCCAGCAGCAGAGGUAAUACGGAGGUUGCGAGCGUUAUCCGGUUUUAUGGGGUUUACAGGGUGAGUAAGCGGAUUUUUAAGUCAGCGGUAAAAUGUCCGGGCUCAACCCGGGCCGGCCGUUGAAACUGGGGAUCUUGAGUGGGCGAGAAGUAUGCGGAAUGAGUGGUGUAGCGGUGAAAUGCAUAGAUAUCACGCAGAACUCCGAUUGCGAAGGCAUCAUACCGGCGCCCGACUGACGCUGAGGCACGAAAGCGUGGGGAUCGAACAGGAUUAGAUACCCUAGUAGUC
rnacentral:rRNA from 1 species